rnacentral:rRNA from 1 species
AUGUGCUCCAGAUUUAUACCUGCAGCUGGGACUCCAUACCAGGCAACAUGGAACACCUCACAUUGCUCAAGGAACCGUAUAUCGGUAAUUGCAAGAAUAUCCGGUCUCUUCCAACACUGCCCUAGUCUAUUGAGGAAUUGUGUCUUUGAUUCCUACAACGAUGAGUUCAUGAAGUCUUGUAGAACAGCCGCCAGCCGGACAUCCAAACUGGCAAAAGAUAGAGCACAUCCCCGGGAAAGUUGUUGGGUGAUCCAGCAAAAAGGCAGUGAAGAACGUCUCAUGGUCUUGAAUCAAUGGGGAGAGGUAUCUCCUUCUUUACCUCAUUUGAAGUGUUGUAUGAUAUUAAAAAACUACUUCAUUUUCCACUUAGAUAGGCUGCUCUGCAUUUACGAGGAUUCAGCUGAUACGAAUGCCCUGAAUAUUGGAGUGUUGGGCCUAUCUCAGUCCAUUUUCUCUCGUUUAGUUCUUCUUUUAGGUUUGUGGUGCUGUUAA